AAAACAAGAUCUGUGAUGCCCUUAGAUGUCCUGGGCCGCACGCGCGCUACACUGAUGCGUUCAUCGAGUUUAUCCUUGGCCGAGAGGCCCGGGUAAUCUUUAGUACGCAUCGUGAUGGGGAUCGAUUAUUGCAAUUAUUAAUCGUGAACGAGGAAUGCCUAGUAUGCGCAAGUCUUCAGCUUGUGCAGAUUACGUCCCUGCCUUUGUACACAAUCCUCCC
rnacentral:rRNA from 1 species